rnacentral:rRNA from 1 species
AGGGAAUAUUGGACAAUAGACGCAAGCCUGAUCCAGCCAUGCCGCGUGAGUAAAGAAAGCCCUCGGGUUGUAAAGCUCUUUUGUCCGGAAAGAAAAGCGCCGGGUUAAUACCCUGGUGUCCUGACGGUACCGGAAGAAUAAGCACCGGCUAACUUCGUGCCAGCAGCCGCGGUAAUACGAAGGGUGCAAGCGUUACUCAGAAUUACUGGGCGUACAGCGUGCGUAGGUGGUUUGUUAAGUCUGAUGUGAAAGCCCUGGACUCAACCUGGGAAUUGCAUUGGAUACUGGCAGGCUAGAGUGCGGUAGAGGGUAGUGGAAUUCCCGGUGUAGCAGUGAAAUGCGUAGAGAUCGGGAGGAACAUCUGUGGCGAAGGCGACUACCUGGACCAGCACUGACACUGAGGCACGAAAGCGUGGGGAGCAAAC